rnacentral:lncRNA from 1 species
UCUUUUUAUCUCAUCAAACACCUCCAAAUCUCAAAACCCCAAACUUAAACCCUAGAGAACAAAUUCUCUCUCUCCCUCUCCUUCUCAACACAUCAAUGGCGGACUUCCCGAUCUCACUGGACAAGGCGAAAUACUUCUUGCAGUCCCAGUAUCAUGACGAGGAAAAGUGGGCCCUUAACAUGGUACUCUCUCUCAAACACUUUCUCGCCGUUUUCGAUUUUGUUGGAAGCUUAAGACUUGUGAUUAGAAUUUCUUGAUUUUAAUUUAGGCGUGAUUUCAAUUGCAUGUAUGUAUAAUUUCCUCAUGUUUUGGCCAUAGGAUGUGGGAAAAGUUUAUGUUAUUUGGAUUAGAAUAUAUAAUUUUCCCGGGACUUGCGAUUCAUGGAGGUCGGAGGGGUGUCUGUUUUGUGCCUCUUGAUUUGAGAUUAGCAUCGGGAAAGUUAAAAGAAGUUUUGUUUUGCAAGGACAAGUGUUACUCAUAGUUCAUAUAAAUGUUUUCUUAGGUAUUUGACUAAAGGAUGCUGUGUGGUUGUGACAUGUCUUUUUGCAAUGUUAACUGGAAAACUUCACAAGUGGAAGGAAAACAUGGUCGCUAUGGUAUCUCAGUUAUUAACAUUACAGAUGUUGCAAGUUUCCGAAUCGCAAUUUUUUGUGAUUAAUAUUGUGCUUAUAAGUUGUAACAAUAGAUGUGCUUUUAGGCGAUGCUCAUCUCUUUAUCAUUAUAUCUUGGUUUCCAUAAAAAUUGUAAACCGAAGACACAUAAGUUUUUCCUUGCAAGAAUCGUGCUUCUGUUGUAGACUCCAGUCUAUAGAAAGUGUCCGAUAUCGAUGAGUGUGAUUUGCAAAGUUGCCUUAAAUAUUUUGAUCUUUUUCAGUUUUUCUCUUUUUGUCCGAGAUCUUUUCAGAUAGUAAUGCUUAAUAAACAGGGGUUCUUUUGCCCUUAUACUGUAACUGUAGUGAACGUUUCUUGUAUUCUUUCAGAACUCUUGAGUUUUAUUUGUUUUGCAUGGAUGCCAGAUGCUAUAUGUCACUCAUAAAUCCAUCUUUUUGUUGAGAUUACAAUGGGGAUAAAGAAAUUAGAAGUGUAUUUCUCUCUUGCAGAAAUUGCUGCGUGCUGCAGGUCUGUUUGCAGGAUCAAUUCUUUUAAUGCGGAGUUACGGUGAUCUGAUGGCCAUAUGAGCUUUUCUUAUGUGUUAGGACGUCCUAAUUAGCAAGUUCUGUAUGGUUCCUUUGUUGCUUAUGCGGAUUUAUUUGGCAUUUUGUUAAAUUACAGGUUUUCCUGUUUACCUUAGUUGUGGUGAUGUUAAUAACUUAAAAUGAGUUUCCAAGCAUAUGAGCAUGCUCUCUUGGAGAGUUUAGGACAUGAAUGAAAUUACAUCACUUUCAUAUACUGAAUGGUUUUUAUGAACUGCUUAUUCAUAUGAUUUUCCAUGC